AUUGAACGCUGGCGGCAGGCCUAACACAUGCAAGUCGAACGAGUGGCGGACGGGUGAGUAAUGUCUGGGAAACUGCCCGCUGGAGGGGGAUAACUACUGGAAACGGUAGCUAAUACCGCAUACCAGCGGAUGUGCCCAGAUGGGAUUAGCCAGUAGGUGGGGUAACGGCUCACCUAGGCGACGAUCCCUAGCUGGUCUGAGAGGAUGACAAGCCACACUGGAACUGAGACACGGUCCAGACCACUACGGGAGGAAGCAGUGGGGAAGAUUGCACAAUGGGCGCAAGCCUGAUGCAGCCAUGCCGCGAGUAUGAAGAGGGCCUGCGGGUUGUAAGGUACUUUCAGCGAGGAGGCGUUACUCGCAGAAGAAGCACCGGCUAACUCCGUGCCAGCAGCCGCGGUAAUUC
rnacentral:rRNA from 1 species